rnacentral:rRNA from 1 species
UACGUAGGGGGCUAGCGUUGUCCGGAAUCAUUGGGCGUAAAGCGCGUGUAGGCGGUUUCGUAAGUCUGCUGUGAAAGUCGGAGGCUCAACCUUCGAAAGCCGGUGGAUACUGUGAGACUUGAGUACGGAAGAGGAGAGUGGAAUUCCUGGUGUAGCGGUGAAAUGCGCAGAUAUCAGGAGGAACACCAACGGCGAAGGCAGCUCUCUGGGACGUUACUGACGCUGAGACGCGAAAGCGUGGGGAGCAAACAGG